rnacentral:misc_RNA from 1 species
UCCGGUUUGUCACCGGCAGUCUCCUUAGAGUUCUCAGCUUAACCUGCUAGCAACUAAGGACAAGGGUUGCGCUCGUUACGGGACUUAACCCAACAUCUCACGACACGAGCUGACGACAGCCAUGCAGCACCUGUCUCUGCGCUCCCGAAGGCACCAAUCUAUCUCUAGAAAGUUCGCAGGAUGUCAAGGCCAGGUAAGGUUCUUCGCGUUGCGUCGAAUUAAACCACAUGCUCCACCGCUUGUGCGGGCCCCCGUCAAUUCAUUUGAGUUUUAACCUUGCGGCCGUACUCCCCAGGCGGUCUACUUAUCGCGUUAGCUUCGCCACUAAAGAUUCUAGAUCUCCAACGGCUAGUAGACAUCGUUUACGGCGUGGACUAC